UGAGUGGCGGACGGGUGAGUAACGCGUGGGCAACCUGCCCUGUACAGGGGGACAACACUUAGAAAUAGGUGCUAAUACCGCAUAACGGGGGAGCCGCAUGGCACCCCCCUGAAAACUCCGGUGGUACAGGAUGGGCCCGCGUCUGAUUAGCUGGUUGGCAGGGUAACGGCCUACCAAGGCGACGAUCAGUAGCCGGCCUGAGAGGGCGGACGGCCACACUGGGACUGAGACACGGCCCAGACUCCUACGGGAGGCAGCAG
rnacentral:rRNA from 1 species